GUUGAAACACCGGUUCCCGUACGAUUAUUGAAGUUAAGCAACGUCGAUCCUGAUCAGUGCCUAGAUGGGUGACCGUUUUGGAAUACCAGGUGCUGUAAG